CCCUUAGAUGUUCUGGCCGCACGCGCGUUACACUGAGUGUCUGAGAUACGAGUCUGCCUGGUCCGGCAAGGUCUAGGUAAUCGCUAAAAGACACAUCAUGCUUGGGAUAGAUUAUUGCAAAUAUUAAUCUUGAACGAGGAAUUCCUAGUAAGCGCAAGUCAACAGCUUGCGUUGAUUACGUCCCUGCCCUUUGUACACACCGCCCGUCGCUACUACUGAUUGAAUGGUUCGGUGAAGAUCUCGGACUUCGAUAUUUAUUCUUUAUUGAGUUUAUAUUGUGGGAAGUUAUCUAAACCUCAUCAUUUAGAGGAAGGUGAAGUCGUAACA
rnacentral:rRNA from 1 species